rnacentral:rRNA from 1 species
UACGUAGGGUGCAAGCGUUGUCCGGAAUUAUUGGGCGUAAAGCGUGCGCAGGCGGUGAUGUAAGACAGAUGUGAAAUCCCCGGGCUUAACCUGGGAAUUGCGAUGGAGACUGCAAGGCUAGAAUCUGGCAGAGGGGGGGUAGAAUUCCACGUGUAGCAGUGAAAUGCGUAGAGAUGUGGAGGAACACCGAUGGCGAAGGCAGCCCCCUGGGUCAAGAUUGACGCUCAUGCACGAAAGCGUGGGGAGCAACAGG